GUGAGGAAUAUUGGGUAAUGGGCGAAAGCCUGACCCAGCCACGCCGCGUGAGUGAUGAAGGCCUUCGGGUUGUAAAGCUCUGUGGGGAGGGAAGAAAAAGCGCAGGAGUAACUGCCUGUGUGUUGACGGUACCUCCUUAGCAAGCACCGGCUAACUCUGUGCCAGCAGCCGCGGUAAUACAGAGGGUGCAAACGUUGCUCGGAAUUACUGGGCGUAAAGCGCGUGUAGGCUGACAUGCAAGUCGGGUGUGAAAUCCCAGGGCUCAACCUUGGAACUGCACUCGAAACUGCACGUCUUGAGUACUGGAGAGGGAAGCGGAAUUCCGGGUGUAGAGGUGAAAUUCGUAGAUAUCCGGAGGAACACCAGUGGCGAAGGCGGCUUCCUGGACAGUAACUGACGCUGAGACGCGAAAGCGUGGGGAGCAAACAGGAUUAGAAACCCGUGUAGUCC
rnacentral:rRNA from 1 species